rnacentral:rRNA from 1 species
CCCUUUGGGUGUGACUGCGUACCUUUUGUAUAAUGGGUCAGCGACUUAUAUUCUGUAGCAAGGUUAACCGAAUAGGGGAGCCGGAGGGAAACCGAGUCUUAAUUGGGCGUUAAGUUGCAGGGUAUAGACCCGAAACCCGGUGAUCUAGCCAUGGGCAGGUUGAAGGUUGGGUAACACUAACUGGAGGACCGAACCGACUAAUGUUGAAAAAUUAGCGGAUGACCUGUGGCUGGGGGUGAAAGGCCAAUCAAACCGGGAGAUAGCUGGUUCUCCCCGAAAGCUAUUUAGGUAGCGCCUCGUGAAUUCAUCUCCGGGGGUAGAGCACUGUUUCGGCUAGGGGGCCAUCCCGGCUUACCAACCCGAUGCAAACUGCGAAUACCGGAGAAUGUUAUCACGGGAGACACACGGCGGGUGCUAACGUCCGUCGUGAAGAGGGAAACAACCCAGACCGCCAGCUAAGGUCCCAAAGUCAUGGUUAAGUGGGAAACGAUGUGGGAAGGCCCAGACAGCCAGGAUGUUGGCUUAGAAGCAGCCAUCAUUUAAAGAAAGCGUAAUAGCUCACUGGUCGAGUCGGCCUGCGCGGAAGAUGUAACGGGGCUAAACCAUGCACCGAAGCUGCGGCAGCGACACUGUGUGUUGUUGGGUAGGGGAGCGUUCUGUAAGCCUGCGAAGGUGGCCUGUGAGGGUUGCUGGAGGUAUCAGAAGUGCGAAUGCUGACAUAAGUAACGAUAAAGCGGGUGAAAAGCCCGCUCGCCGGAAGACCAAGGGUUCCUGUCCAACGUUAAUCGGGGCAGGGUGAGUCGACCCCUAAGGCGAGGCCGAAAGGCGUAGUCGAUGGGAAACGGGUUAAUAUUCCCGUACUUGGUGUUACUGCGAAGGGGGGACGGAGAAGGCUAUGUUGGCCGGGCGACGGUUGUCCCGGUUUAAGCGUGUAGGUGUGUGUUCCAGGUAAAUCCGGUUCACUUUAACACUGAGGCGUGACGACGAGGCACUACGGUGCUGAAGCAACAAAUGCCCUGCUUCCAGGAAAAGCCUCUAAGCAUCAGGUAACAUCAAAUCGUACCCCAAACCGACACAGGUGGUCAGGUAGAGAAUACCAAGGCGCUUGAGAGAACUCGGGUGAAGGAACUAGGCAAAAUGGUGCCGUAACUUCGGGAGAAGGCACGCUGACACGUAGGUGAAGUGAUUUACUCAUGGAGCUGAAGUCAGUCGAAGAUACCAGCUGGCUGCAACUGUUUAUUAAAAACACAGCACUGUGCAAACACGAAAGUGGACGUAUACGGUGUGACGCCUGCCCGGUGCCGGAAGGUUAAUUGAUGGGGUCAGCGCAAGCGAAGCUCCUGAUCGAAGCCCCGGUAAACGGCGGCCGUAACUAUAACGGUCCUAAGGUAGCGAAAUUCCUUGUCGGGUAAGUUCCGACCUGCACGAAUGGCGUAAUGAUGGCCAGGCUGUCUCCACCCGAGACUCAGUGAAAUUGAACUCGCUGUGAAGAUGCAGUGUACCCGCGGCAAGACGGAAAGACCCCGUGAACCUUUACUAUAGCUUGACACUGAACAUUGAGCCUUGAUGUGUAGGAUAGGUGGGAGGCUUUGAAGUGUGGACGCCAGUCUGCAUGGAGCCGACCUUGAAAUACCACCCUUUAAUGUUUGAUGUUCUAACGUGGACCCGUUACCCGGGUUGCGGACAGUGUCUGGUGGGUAGUUUGACUGGGGCGGUCUCCUCCUAAAGAGUAACGGAGGAGCACGAAGGUUGGCUAAUCCUGGUCGGACAUCAGGAGGUUAGUGCAAUGGCAUAAGCCAGCUUGACUGCGAGCGUGACGGCGCGAGCAGGUGCGAAAGCAGGUCAUAGUGAUCCGGUGGUUCUGAAUGGAAGGGCCAUCGCUCAACGGAUAAAAGGUACUCCGGGGAUAACAGGCUGAUACCGCCCAAGAGUUCAUAUCGACGGCGGUGUUUGGCACCUCGAUGUCGGCUCAUCACAUCCUGGGGCUGAAGUAGGUCCCAAGGGUAUGGCUGUUCGCCAUUUAAAGUGGUACGCGAGCUGGGUUUAGAACGUCGUGAGACAGUUCGGUCCCUAUCUGCCGUGGGCGCUGGAGAACUGAGGGGGGCUGCUCCUAGUACGAGAGGACCGGAGUGGACGCAUCACUGGUGUUCGGGUUGUCAUGCCAAUGGCACUGCCCGGUAGCUAAAUGCGGAAGAGAUAAGUGCUGAAAGCAUCUAAGCACGAAACUUGCCCCGAG